UGGGGUAUAGCCAAGCGGUAAGGCACCGGUUUUUGGUAUCGGCAUGCGCAGGUUCGAAUCCUGCUACUCCAGCCA
rnacentral:tRNA from 2 species